rnacentral:lncRNA from 1 species
CAAUUUAACCAUUUCUGUGUGUUUUGGGUAAGAAAAGGCCCUGAAGCCCAAAUUUACCCAAUUUCGGAGGGUUCUGGGGAAAACAAAGGCCUUAAAAUCCAAAUUUACCCAUUUCUGAGUGCUCCUGUGGAAAAAUAGGCCCGAAAACCCAAACCGACCCAUUUCUGUGUGUUUUGGAGAAAAAAAGGCCCCCAAACCCAAAUUUAACCAUUUCUGUGUAUUUU